UUCAACUAACAAUAAGAGAACUGAUGCUUAGUGUACUUAUUCUAUAUUUACUAAAUGUUGAUUUAUGUUCUACGCUAGAUACUGUGAAAGAUGUAAAAAGCCAAUAGGCAAAGUUUUUGCCUUCAGAAAGAGUGUCCUCUCUUUGAGGGAGGAAAAAAUGCACAAUAUGAAUAAUCAGAAUAAAUAGCAACGAAAGGAACUAUAAAACAAAUUAUACUGAGUUCCUUAUGGUAGAAAAUAUAGAUAAUCACAUACCAAAAUGAUUUUCAUAGGUAUAGUAGUCUUCUAUAAUAGUACAGUAGCCAGCAGAAGUGGUGUAGAGAGCAUUCAGAUUUUGAAAAAAAAAAUCAGAUUUAAUGUCUGUUCCUGUGACCUACAAUCUAAUUCACUUUGGUUUCCCUCAGAUAAUUUUUACCUUGCAGGAUCCUUUAACCACUGAGAAAGUAAAGGUCACAUGUCAAGAUGGAUAAACAUGGCCUUGCCCCUUUUUGCAGAAACAUAGUAUAAAUUUACUGAGCACUCAUGAGUUCCAGGUGGUGCACUAAACAUUUUUCAUGCAACAACUUCUUCAUACAACGAAUCUCUGCAGUGGACGCUAUUAGUACUGCACUCGGUGAGUAGCUCUAUCCUGAAAUCCCAGGAGUGAUCUCAAUUACUGGCUGCAGCAGCAAUGUGCAGGCGCCAAGCACAGCUUCCCCAGCCUCCAUGGGAAAGCACUCAUGGAGGGUAGGCAGCCUGUGGCCCAAGAACUCAAGCAGCUGCCUAUUUACAGGAAUGGCAGUGAGGCCUCAACUGGGAAAAUGAAGUUGUCUUUUCUUUGGAGAGACUAGAUAGCCUUGUUCGGGCAAUCUCAAAAUAUAAAGGUCAAGACCUAGAUUUAUUCUAAAACCUAUCCUCAAGGCUUAGUCAGAAUUUCAGGAAAAUGUGGGUGAAGGGCAGGCACUGAAGCAGUAGAGUAAUGAAGGGAAUCAUAUAGUAGGAACAUUAGUGCUACAACCUGAGGGGGAUGUGGGUUCACAUCAGAAAUGUAAGCAGUGGGCCCGGCAUCAUGGCUCACGCCUAUAAUCUCAGCACUUUGGGAGGCCGAGGCAGGCGUAUCACCUGAGGUCAGGAGCUCAAGACCAGCCCAGCCAACAUGGUGAAACCCCGGCUCUACUAAAAAUACAAAAAUUAGCCAGGUGCAGUGGCAGGCGCCUGUAAUCCCAGCUAAUCAGGAGGCUGAGGUAGAAGAAUUGCUUGAACCCCGGAGGUGGAAGUUGCAGUGAGCCAAGAUCAUGCCAUUGCACUGCAGCCUGGGCAACAAGAGUGAAACUUCAUCUCAAAAAGAAAAAAAAGAAAAGUAAGCAAUGAACUGUAAGGGAGUGGAGAGACUGAGAUGAUGUCACUAGUUAUGCUUUGGGGUAUGAGGUCAGCAGGACAGGAAUGCUGUCAGUUUCUCUCAUUCUCUUAUUCAUCUUUUUUGAUCCUUAAGGGAGUUGCAGUGGCCCCAGGGAGUGUUGAGUUGAUCACUUCAACAAUGUUCCAGUAAGACUUGUAAAAACCCUAAGAGGUGAGUGAUGUUGUGUAAAACACAUACAGACACAUACGAUGGACCAGGAAAUAAGAGACCUUGGCUCUUGUUCUGAGUUUGCAGAGCCCUUCAGACAAGUCACUUCAUCAGUGUCCUCACAUGCAAGAUGAAACUAUAAUUUUGAAUAAUUUUCCAACAUGAAAAUGGAAUAAUCCUAUGAAAAACACUGUAAACAUUUCUAUGCUAUUUUGAACUAUCACACUUAAUUACUGAAACUAUUGUUAUUUAAAUUGAACAACUUAAAUCACAAAAUUAUUUGGUGAUGUUUAUCUGGAGAUAUGUACUACAUAUUAUAUAGAUAUAUAUAUACACACACACUACAUAUUACAGAUCUGUAUGUACUGUAUAGAAAUAUAUUUUCCCAUUUAGGAAAUAUAGAAAGAAGACUCUUUUUGGGGGUGUGCCAUUAGUGGCUUUAAAUAUUUUCUUCAUUUAUAUUUAUCCAAAUAAAUGUGGUAUUUUGUUUUGCUAUGAUGCUUUUAUUGGAAUUUGAGCAGUGAAAGCCAGCAUGUAGCCAGAAAAUGUAGGGGCAAUACUGUGUGACUGAACGCUGUUAACCAAGGUAAAAUCCGUUUGCUUAGCAGAAUGGCCUAUGUGGUCAGGGACGAGAAGAGAGGAAUGAGAUUUGAAUAAGCAAAGCUCCGGAGUUCUUGCUUGAAAUUGUUCCCUCUUCAAUGAAUUAAAGACUCCUCUAGACUGGAAGCUCUCCUUUGGGAAAGAGUCCUUUUUCUAAUCUGUCAAGAUCUUUUUUAAAAUUGGCUUUUGAUCCAUUUUUCUCCUCCUUCGGAGUUGACCAUUACUUGGAACCUAAAAAGACUUGUGGAUAUCCUGGGAGGAAAAGGUAGGGGAGCUUUUACUUCUGUAGCUUGAUGAAUUUCAAAGUUCCUGCAUAAAGAAGCAAAAAGAAACUUCAAGUAAGAGACUUUAUAUGGAACCUGAAGGCAAAAUGCAAAUUUGGUCUGAGGCAACUGAGCUUCCACCCUAAGAGGUGGAACUCUAAGAACCAGUUAACUUGAAUAGCUAGUGGAAGCAAAGAAGUGAAAUUAAGAGAGCAGGUUCCAAAAGAGAGCAGACUUUCAAUUCGAACUCAUGAAUAAGGCAUAAGGAGAACAGUGUCAAACCCUAGAAGAACACAACAUUUCCUUGAUCUUUUUUCCCCAUUGAAGUGCAUAAAAGAUUCUUUUCAAAAUAGUUUUGAGUAUUUUAAUAAAAAAAAAUUUGCAAAGAGAUUUUUGAAGAUAAAUUCUAGCAUUUUUCUCACAUAUCAGAAGUUGUUGCUUAAAACAGAAAAAGUUAAUUUUGCAUUGUUAGCUUUAACAUCAACAUUCACUCUUCAGAUUAUACGAUGUUUCCUUAAUAAAUUGUUCUUGAGUCUGUAUCACGUAAGAAAUAGGGAAGUAACAGUGAACAGAAGUGGAUAAAGUCCUGUUCUCAUAGGGCUUGGGUCUCUGAGAGGGAAUCAAGAGUCAACAAGGAAACACAGAAAUAUGCAAUAUUUGGUUUGCUUCUAAGUGCCAAGAAGAAAAAUAAAUCCUGGUAAAGGGAAAGAGAAGAAGGAAGGAAAAGUGGAAUGACGGUUUGUUGAGAUAAGUUGUUAAGGAAGUGAUGUUUCUUGUGGUAAAAUUCUCAGAUACCUAAAUCAGAUGAGUUACUUGACGGAAGAGUAUCAGGCAUGAGAACAAAUGCAAGUGUAAAUAUUAAGGAUAAUAAUUAUAGAAGUAUUAAUCAUUGAGAUAGCAGUAGCAGUAGAUACAUCAUUAAAUGCAUACUAUAUAUUCACCUAUUGUUCUGAGCAAUUUCUGAAUAUAUUUAUGCUAGUAUCAGGUUUUGUUUUUUUUUUGAUGCCCUUAAGGGUUUUGCUUUUUGUUCUUUGUGAGUAGAAGGGACUAUUUGAGAUUUACUUCUCUUUUUAUUACGUUUUAAAAAUGUGAUUGUAGAUUCAUGUAUAGACGUAAGGAAUAAUACAGAGAGGGUCUGUGCACUUCAUCUGGCUCUCCUAAUGGAAUCCAACGUCUUACAAAUCUAGAGUACAGUAAGAUAGUGGGGAUAUUGAUGUUAAUGCAAUCGUCAAUCUUAUUCAAACGUUGCCAGGUUUGCAUUUUCUCCAUUUGCAUGUGUGUUUAUUUUAUUCUAUGCAGUUUUAUCACAUUGUAGAUUCAUGUGACCAACACUGCAGUCAAAAUACCAACAGUUUUGUAGCUCUGAAGAUUCAUCAUACUACCUUUAGCUAUACCAUCUUCCUUUUCAUCUGGCUUUUGGUAGACCCUAUCACCUGGCAACCACUAAUAUGUUCUCCACCCCUAUAAUUUUCAGUGGUGUAAUAUGAAUGAAACCUGAUAGUAUAUAAUCAUUUAGGAUUGGCUUUUUUCACUCAGUAUAAUUCCCUAAGAUUAAUCCAAGUUGUUACAUCUAUUAAUACUUCAUUCCUUUUUUACUGUUGAGUAUUAUUCUAUAGUACAGACAUUCCACAACUUGUUUAACCAUUUACUUUCUUUUUUGAGACAGAGUCUGGCCCUUGUUGCCCUGGCUGGAGUGCAAUGGCGUGAUCUUGGCUCAUUGCAACCCCUGCCUCCUGGGUUUAAGUGGUUAAGUGGCCUCAGCCUCCCGAGUAGCUGAGAUUACAGGCAUGUACUACCACACCUGGCUAAUUUUUUGUGUUUUUAGUAGAGACGGUGUUUCUCCAUGUUAGUCAGGCUGUUCUUGAACUCCUGACCUCAGGUGAUCCACCCAUCUUGGCCUCCCAAAGUGCUGGGAUUACAAGCGUGAGCCACGGUGCCCGGUCUUAAGGGACAUUUGUACUGUUUCUACUUUUUGGCCAUUAAAAAUAAACCUGCUAUGGGCACUUAUGUGCAAGUUUUUAUGUAAACUUAAGUUUUCAUUUCUUUUCAAUAUAUGCCCAAGGGUAGAAUUGCUGGGCCAUGUGAUAAGUCAUGUUUAGUUUUGUAAAACACUGCCAACUGUUCUGCAGAGUAGUUGAAUCAUCUUAAUUCCCAACAGCAAUGUAUGAAGGAUUCAGUUUCUCUACAUUGUUGCCUGAGUUUGGUAAUUUCAUUAUUUUUUAAUUUUAGCUAUUCUAACAGGGAUUACUUUGUUUUUUACAAAUUAGUGUUCUGUUUGCCACACUCAUACAUUCAAAAGGAGGAUUUCAUCUUUAAGUAUGAAACUGUAGCUUAUGAUACUUAUUCUAUUAAUAUAUCUAGAAAAUUUUAGCAAUUUUCAAGAGCCAUUUA